rnacentral:rRNA from 1 species
GAUCAUGGCUCAGGACGAACGCUGGCGGCGUGCUUAACACAUGCAAGUCGAACGCUGAAGCCCAGCUUGCUGGGUGGAUGAGUGGCGAACGGGUGAGUAACACGUGAGUAACCUGCCCCCUUCUUUGGGAUAACGCCCGGAAACGGGUGCUAAUACUGGAUAUUCACUGGCCUUCGCAUGGGGGUUGGGUGGAAAGGUUUUUACUUGGUGGGGGAGUGGGCGUCGCGGCCUAUCAGCUUGUUGGUGGGGUGGAUGG